CUCAGAGAUCUGCCUGCCUCUGUCUCCUGAGUGCUGGGAUUAAAGGCAUGUGCCACCACUGCCCAGCAUGGAAAUGUUUUUUGAGCUGUUGUUUUAAAUGAAAGCACAAUGCCUAUGAGGCGAUUCCGUGGGUGAAGGCUCUCACUGCCAAGCCUGACAUACUGAGUUCAAACCUGGGAUGUAGGAGAUAACCGACCCCUGGAAGGUGUUCUCUGACUUUCACGUGCAUGCCAGACACCCAGCCGGCACUCACACCUAUCACUUGUGCCCAGCCAAAUAAAUGGACGUAACACAUUUUAAUGUAAAUGUAAAUUAUGUGUAAUGUAACGAGCAAUAACCAACAUUUCCUAUCUCCAUCUGGAUGAGGAGAUCCGAGGUGGUCUGCUGUCUCCUGGGCUAGAACUCACCACGGAAAGCUAGAGUCAGGUUCUGUCCUUGGGUUCAUCAAGCAACCAUCAGAGGUGAACUCUGAAGGACGGACAAUCCAUCCGUGUAAAUGUUAUCCUCAGCUCUGAAGUCACAGCUAUGGAAGGAAGUGAGCUCUGUGGAUGUCUUGGGGUGGAUUUCCCCAGCAUCAGAGGUAUUCAGGCCUGAGUCAUUCCUCCCCUCUGGGCUUUCCCGACACUGCGGUAAGAACUCAGGACCAUCAUCCCACAGGUGCGACCACCCACAAGUGAACUAAACCCUCCUAUCUAAACAACAAUCAUCAAUCAAAAAAACCAACCAACCAACAACAACCAAAACAACCGGUACGACAGCCCUGCCCACAGGCCAAUAUGGUUGGAGGCAUUUUCUCAAUUGAGGUUCCCUCUUCCCAAAUGACUUUAGCCUGUGUCAACAUAAAACUAGCCUGCGCAGACUGCAAUAGCCUUCCUGAAUCAGGGACUGGGACUGCAGUGUGGGACUUGACUGUCCUCUGAUUCCCUCAUAUCUUAUUGACUGGGACUCUGUCUGGAUACUUGUGUCCAGUUCAUUCUGGAUUUUCCUCUAUGUUAGCCAAUAAACUAACUCCUGGUUGGCUUCCUGGCA